GACGAACGCUGGCGGCGUGCCUAACACAUGCAAGCCGAACGGAGAAUUUUAUUUCGGUAGAAUUCUUAGUGGCGAACGGGUGAGUAACGCGUAGGCAACCUGCCCUUUAGACGGGGACAACAUUCCGAAAGGAGUGCUAAUACCGGAUGUGAUCAUCUUGCCGCAUGGCAGGAUGAAGAAAGAUGGCCUCUACAAGUAAGCUAUCGCUAAAGGAUGGGCCUGCGUCUGAUUAGCUAGUUGGUAGUGUAACGGACUACCAAGGCGAUGAUCAGUAGCCGGUCUGAGAGGAUGAACGGCCACAUUGGGGACUGAGACACGGCCCAAACUCCUACGGGAGGCAGCAGUGGGGAAUCUUCCGCAAUGGACGAAAGUCUGACGGAGCAACGCCGCGUGAGUGAUGAAGGGAUUUCGGGCCUGUAAAGCUCUGUUGUUUAUGUACGAACAUGCAGUGUGUGAAACAAUGCAUUUGCAAAAUGACGGUAGUAAAACG
rnacentral:rRNA from 1 species